GAGGGUAUAGCUCAGUGGUAGAGGAUGUGCCUAGCAUGUAGGAGAUGCUGGGUUCCAUCCCCAGUACCUCUG
rnacentral:tRNA from 1 species